ACGAACGCUGGCGGCGUGCUUCACACAUGCAAGUCGAACGGAAAGGCCCUGCUUUUGUGGGGUGCUCGAGUGGCGAACGGGUGAGUAACACGUGAGUAACCUGCCCUUUACUUUGGGAUAACUUCAGGAAACUGGGGCUAAUACCGGAUAGGAGCUCCUGCUGCAUGGUGGGGGUUGGAAAGUUUCGGCGGUUGGGGAUGGACUCGCGGCUUAUCAGCUUGUUGGUGGGGUAGUGGCUUACCAAGGCUUUGACGGGUAGCCGGCCUGAGAGGGUGACCGGCCACAUUGGGACUGAGAUACGGCCCAGACUCCUACGGGAGGCAGCAGUGGGGAAUAUUGCACAAUGGGCGGAAGCCUGAUGCAGCAACGCCGCGUGCGGGAUGACGGCCUUCGGGUUGUAAACCGCUUUCGCCUGUGACGAAGCGUGAGUGACGGUAAUGGGUAAAGAAGCACCGGCUAACUACGUG
rnacentral:rRNA from 1 species